AUUGAACGCUGGCGGCAUGCUUUACACAUGCAAGUCGAACGGCAGCGCGGGCUUCGGCCUGGCGGCGAGUGGCGAACGGGUGAGUAAUGCAUCGGAACGUGCCCAGUAGUGGGGGAUAGCCCGGCGAAAGCCGGAUUAAUACCGCAUACGACCUGAGGGUGAAAGCGGGGGACCGAAAGGCCUCGCGCUAUUGGAGCGGACGAUGUCGGAUUAGCUAGUUGGUGGGGUAAAGGCUUACCAAGGCGACGAUCCGUAGCUGGUCUGAGAGGACGACCAGCCACACUGGGACUGAGACACGGCCCAGACUCCUACGGGAGGCAGCAGUGGGGCAUUUUGGACAAUGGGGGCACCCCUGAUCCAGCCAUGCCGCGUGCGGGAAGAAGGCCUUCGGGUUGUAAACCGCUUUUGUUCGGGAAGAAAUCCUCUGGGCUAAUACCCCGGGGGGAUGACGGUACCGGAAGAAUAAGCACCGGCUAACUACGUG
rnacentral:rRNA from 1 species